UGCUGGAACUGGGGAGAUUCUGAGACUUUCCUUUGCUGAAAAAUGCAGAUGCAAACAUUUCCAUCCACAGGAAGCCAAGCUGGCUCUUCCUGCUGCUGGGACUCUGCUGAGGUGGCAGCGAGUCAGGGAUGUGUCACCAACCCAGACAUGGAGUUUACUGGGUCAGUAGAUGGAGGGAGGCCUGGACUCGAAUUUCUUUUCUUUCCUCCAAAUGCCUGCUGGAGAAAAUCUGAUGUAUCCUGUGUGAGUCAGUCCUGAGUGUUUCUGCUUCUGGGGAAGGGCGUUUUAGUCACUGGCCUCCAUCUUCCCUGCUGGUUCUAAUUGUGAUUUUAAUUAGCAAGCGUGUCAUCGGAGCGGAGGCGUGGCCUUUCUUCAGAAGGAGAGUUUUCUGGCUGUGUGGUCCCUGCCUGGCCACUUGGAGCUUAUAAUGAAGAGGUCAUGUAAGGAUACAGCAAGAAGGUAGCAUUCUAUAAAUCAAGAAGAGAGUUGUCAGCAGAACCCAACCAUGCUGGCACCCGGACCUGAGACUUCUAGACCUGGAGGGACCCAGCAACAGGACGCCGGGGUGGCUCAGUGGUUGAGCAUCUGUCUUCGGCUCAGGGC